rnacentral:rRNA from 1 species
GAUGAACGCUAGCGGGAGGCCUAACACAUGCAAGCCGAGCGGUAGAGUUUCUUCGGAAACUUGAGAGCGGCGCACGGGUGCGUAACACGUGUGCAACCUACCUUUAUCUGGGGGAUAGCCUUUCGAACGGAAGAUUAAUACCCCAUAAUAUAAUGAUUGGCAUCAAUUAUUAUUGAAAACUCCGGUGGAUAGAGAUGGGCACGCGCAAGAUUAGAUAGUUGGUGAGGUAACGGCUCACCAAGACAAUGAUCUUUAGGGGUCCUGAGAGGGAGAUCCCCCACACUGGUACUGAGACACGGACCAGACUCCUACGGGACGGAGCAGUGAGGAAUAUUGGACAAUGGGUGAGAGCCUGAUCCAGCCAUCCCGCGUGAAGGAUGACGGUCCUAUGGAUUGUAAACUUCUUUUGUACAGGGAUAAACCUACCCUCGUGAGGGUAGCUGAAGGUACUGUACGAAUAAGCACCGGCUAACUCCGUG